rnacentral:misc_RNA from 1 species
UGUAGGAGUGAGCCUGCUCGCGAUAGCGGUGUGUCAGACAAUUGAUUUUUGACUGACGCACCGCUAUCGCGAGCAGGCUCACUCCUACA